rnacentral:rRNA from 1 species
GUAGUCUCGCACAGAUGCAUAUCAAUAAGCGGAGGAAAAGAAACUAACAAGGAUUCCCCUAGUAACGGCGAGUGAAGCGGGAAGAGCUCAAAUUUGAAAUCUUAAAGGGUUUCCCUUUACGAAUUGUAGUUUAAAGAAGUGUUUUCUGUUGAGGUUUUGGUAAAAGUUCUUUGGAAUAGGACAUCAUAGAGGGUGAGAAUCCCGUAUUUGACCUUUACUUUCAACUUUGUGAUACACUUUCAAAGAGUCGGAUUGUUUGGGAAUGCAGUCCAAAAUGGGUGGUAAAUUUCAUCUAAAGCUAAAUAUUGGCGAGAGACCGAUAGCGAACAAGUACCGUGAGGGAAAGAUGAAAAGAACUUUGAAAAGAGAGUUAAACAGUACGUGAAAUUGUCAAAAGGGAAGCGUUUGACACCAGUGUUGUUUUUCUGAAAAUCAAUUAAAGAACUGUUUAUGCUAAGCUGUUUAGACUUUAUCAGCUAACUGUUUAGUUUUGAGCUUUUCUUUAAUGCACUUUUCAGGUUAACAAGUCAACAUCAAUUUCUUUUGCUGUAAAAAAGCUUGAGGAAGGUGGCUUGAGAUUCGUCUUAAGUGUUUAUAGCCUCUUGCCUAUGCAGUCGGAGAGAUUGAGGUCUGCAGCGUAGAUCCUUCGGGGCUAAAUGCAUUUGUGCUAAGUUAUAGCAUUUUAUAGACAACUUGUUGACUAUGAUUUGUCUUGUAGCUUACUCGCUUAUGUUAUUUUACCUACGCUUAGGAUGUUGAGUAGCGACAUACGCAC